rnacentral:misc_RNA from 1 species
GAUGAAGAACGUAGCAAAAUGCGAUACUUGGUGUGAAUUGCAGAAUCCCGUGAACCAUCGAGUUUUUGAACGCAAGUUGCGCCCGAAGCCUUUUGGCCGAGGGCACGUCUGCCUGGGCGUCACGCAUCGCGUCGCCCCCAACAAAUUCUCCGUCAGGGGAGCUUGUGUUUCGGGGGCGGAUACUGGUCUCCCGUGCUCAUGGCGCGGUUGGCCGAAAUAGGAGUCCCUUCGAUGGACGCACGAACUAGUGGUGGUCGUAAAAACCCUCGUCUUUUGUUUCGUGCCGUGAGUCGCGAGGGAAGCUCUUCAAAAACCCCAGCGCGUCGUCUCUUGACGGCGCUUCGACCGCGACCCCAGGUCAGGCGGGACUACCCGCUGAGUUUAAGCAUAUCAAUAAGCGGAGGA